rnacentral:misc_RNA from 1 species
AAGAAUCGCCCCGUUUUUUGAAAUGGGUUCUAUUCCCCAACCGUGUGUACAUACCUUUGUUGCUUUGGCGGGCCGCCUUCGGGCGUUGGCUCUGGUUGACUGCGCCCGCCAGAGGACCCAAACUCGUUCGUUUAGUGAUGUCUGAGUACUAUAUAAUAGUUA